CCCUAUGGGGUGCAGCAGGCGCGAAAACUUUACCAUGCGGGCAACCGUGAUAAGGAAACCCCGAGUGCCAGCACAGGCUGGCUGUCCGCCAGUUUAAAUAACUGGUGAAGAAAGGGCCGGGCAAGACCGGUGCCAGCCGCCGCGGUAAUACCGGCGGCUCGAGUGGUGGCCGCUAUUACUGGGCUUAAAGGGUCCGUAGCUUGAUAACUGGGUCCCUUGAGAAAUCCGCCAGCUUAACUGGCGGGCGUUCAGGGGAAACUUGUUUUCUAGGGACCGGGAGAGGUGAGGGGUACUGCCGGGGUAGGAGUGAAAUCCUGUAAUCCCGGUGGGACCACCUAUGGCGAAGGCAUCUCACCAGAACGGGUCCGACAGUGAGGGACGAAAGCUGGGGGAGCAAACCGG
rnacentral:rRNA from 1 species